CUUUCUUUUGUCUGGCGACCGGCGCACGGGUGAGUAACACGUAUCCAACCUGCCCUUUACUCGGGAGUAGCCUUUCGAAAGAAAGAUUAAUACCCGAUAGCAUAAUGAUUCCGCAUGGUUUCAUUAUUAAAGGAUUCCGGUAAAGGAUGGGGAUGCGUUCCAUUAGGUUGUUGGUGAGGUAACGGCUCACCAAGCCUUCGAUGGAUAGGGGUUCUGAGAGGAAGGUCCCCCACAUUGGAACUGAGACACGGUCCAA
rnacentral:rRNA from 1 species